GUGGCAUGAAGAAAUUGGGUGGGGCUGGAAGCACGAAGUUCAGCCAAUAAUCACAGACAUUACCAAAAAAGGUAGAAAAAGUAUUGGGAUCCAGUGUUCCAGCACUGUAUAAAUAAUGUAGAAACAGAAGUACCUGAACAACCACCUGAGGGACCUGGAACAACGUUUGGAAGAAGCUUUCAGGAGCUCAAAACUGUGAGUUAUCCUUCUCAUAGAAGAUUCUCUGCUCAGUUCCCACCUUAAUCUGCUACCACAACAUGGCGGUAAGACCAGCUAAUUUUUUCUUCUGUUUCA
rnacentral:lncRNA from 1 species